UGACGGUACCUGACUAAGAAGCCCCGGCUAAAUACGUGCCAGCAGCCGCGGUAAUACGUAUGGGGCAAGCGUUAUCCGGAUUUACUGGGUGUAAAGGGAGCGCAGGCGGCAAGGCAAGUCAGAAGUGAAAACCCGGGGCUCAACCCCGCGGAUUGCUUUUGAGACUGUUUAGCUGGAGUGCAGGAGGGGCAAGCGGAAUUCCUAGUGUAGCGGUGAAAUGCGUAGAUAUUAGGAAGAACACCGGUGGCGAAGGCGGCUUGCUGGACUGUAACUGACGCUGAGGCUCGAAGGCGUGGGGAGCAAACAGGAUUAGAUACCCUG
rnacentral:rRNA from 1 species